AAAAGCAACUUUCAAACAUUAGGUUUUCAGAGGUCUGUGGGCAGACAGGUCGGGCUAGGAGCACGCAGCACCGGGUGGACCUUGACCGUGCUGCCACCUUUCCUGCCCUUGAGCAAGUCCUCGGUGCCCUCUGGGUUGAGUUUCCUUCUCUGGGUGAGGGGUGUCGGGGUCUGCUCUGGGCCUGUCUCGGCGGAUGGGCCUUAACAGGGAGCUCCUGCAGGAUGGGCCUUUGACUGCCCCCGCCCCCAACCUGGGCAGGGUCUGUUCCUGGCCUCUGACGUCCAGCAGCUGCGGCAGGCGAUCGAGGAGUGCAAGCAGGUGAUUCUGGAGCUGCCCGAGCAAUCGGAGAAGCAGAAGGAUGCCGUGGUGCGACUCAUCCACCUCCGGCUGAAGCUCCAGGAGCUGAAGGACCCCAAUGAGGAUGAGCCAAACAUCCGAGUGCUCCUUGAGCACCGCUUUUACAAGGAGAAGAGCAAGAGCGUCAAGCAGACCUGUGACAAGUGUAACGCCAUCAUCUGGGGGCUCAUUCAGACCUGGUACACCUGCACAGGGUGUUAUUACCGCUGUCACAGUAAGUGC
rnacentral:sRNA from 1 species